rnacentral:rRNA from 1 species
AUGGAGGACACCAUCGACCUCGACGCCGCCGCCGCCGGCCUCGCCUCCCUCGUCUCGUCCGGCGCCGUCGCCCCCUCCGAGAAAGGCAAGCCUCGUGCCCUGCGCAAGACCGCCGCGGCGACCAAGUCGAAGAAGGCGCCGACGCCCGAACAGCGGGCAAGGGAGUCGGCCAAGAGGAAGGGCCGAACGCACGCCGUGGACGCCAGGGCGCUGCGCAGGCCGCCGCCGUCGCCACCGCGCAGCAGGAGUUCACCAACGCCCGCGUCGCCGCGGCAACGAGGGAGGCACUCUACAUGCUUGGGGUAA